rnacentral:rRNA from 1 species
UACGGAGGGGGCUAGCGUUGUUCGGAAUUACUGGGCGUAAAGGGCGCGUAGGCGGCCGGACAAGUGGAAGGUGAAAUCCCCGAGCUCAACUCGGGAACUGCCCUCCAAACUGUUUGGCUUGAGUCCGGGAGAGGUGAGUGGAAUUCCCAGUGUAGCGGUGAAAUGCGUAGAUAUUGGGAGGAACACCAGUGGCGAAGGCGGCUCACUGGACCGGAACUGACGCUGAGGCGCGAAAGCGUGGGGAGCAAACAGG